rnacentral:rRNA from 1 species
AGAAUCAACGCUGGCGGCGUGCCUAACACAUGCAAGUCGCACGAGAAAGUGGAGCAAUCCAUGAGUAAAGUGGCGCACGGGUGAGUAACACGUGAAUUAUCUACCUCCGAGUGGGGAAUAACUGAGAGAAAUCUUAGCUAAUACCGCAUAACACUUACGAGUCAAAGCAGCAAUGCGCUUGGAGAGGAGUUCGCGGCCGAUUAGUUAGUUGGCGGGGUAAUGGCCCACCAAGACGAUGAUCGGUA